CAUAUUUAAUUAUACAUCGUAUAUGUGACAUGUAUUAACAUAAAUUUCGUGUAGUUAUUGAAUUAUGAUACAUUGGAUAGUUUCUAACAUAUUAGAGUAAACGCCAUGUAGCAGGUAAAUUUUUUUUCAAAAAAUUAAAGUUGAAGUAGUGGGCGGUGUCGGCGGGUCCGGUUUUUAAUGGUUUGUAUAAAUAUCUAGUCAUCAAACUUAAAAGAAACGUUAAACAUUUUCUGGUGUCGGAGUCGAAAGUUUAGGAAGUCGAGAAGACAAAGGUUAUCGAAGAAGGGAGAGGCUGUUAUUAGAUCGAAGAGCGAAGCUGGUGAUUGUAAAUAGUAAGCUGAAUUCGGGGAGUUUCAACUUUCAAGAGCUAAGUCAUCGUCGCAUGAAGAGGGUAGCGUCUAUAACCGCAUCCGACUCGUCAUGACCUGAGCUCUGACUUCUUAUGUCCACUGCUGUGUUUAAAUGUAGAUCGUCACCGCCAAACUUAUCCCUUUCACGGUCAUGCUUCACCUUUCACCUCUGUUUACGUCAGAUUCAGUGGCGGAGGUAGGAUCCAAAUCUAGGUGGGUCAAAAUUAGAUUAUAUAAAAAGCAGCGGAGGUUUCAUAAUAAUCAAGGUGGUCAAACUGUAAAAAUUGAACUAAUUAAUCAAUAUUUGUUACAGCUAUA